rnacentral:lncRNA from 1 species
GGACAUACUCAUCGAUACUUCAUAGCCCCGCUCGCGGCGAGAAACUGGAACAUCAUCUUGCAAACUAUGGUUAUGUCUCCAAAAACGCUGAAACGUAAAAAUCAAUCAAUCAAUGUACAUGAGUUUCAUCAUAGCAGCCAUGGAAAGUAUUUUCGUAGAUACGUACGAAUAUCACUUACAUAUUUGUAUGCUAGAGGUUGAACUUGUUCGUAACUCAGUCGAAGCAAUUUUUCCUCCUUUAUAGUAACGUUUCCACACACGUGGUCGAAAUUACAUUUGACGCAUCACCCAGAUUUGUUUAGUUACGUAUCUGAAGUGUGUUCCAUCAAACAUAUUACCGUUCACAUUAUACUGAGAUUCAUACUCAGAAUGUGUUGAAAAGAGCUACUGUGAACAUACCACUUUAUAUUUAUAGACUUUAAGCAUAAAAUUUAAUCGUGGCUCUUUUAAAUUAUGUUCCAACUUUGCCUUACAGUGUUAAUCAACUGUACAAUGAUUUACCCAUGUAUACAGCAGAGUAUUCUCACGGUAUCAGGCUAAACGCCUUGGUCACGGCUACAACAGCAGCGGGAGCGGGAUUCGGAAGAACAACUUGAAGAGUAGACAGUGAUGCUCCUAACCGCUACGCCACCUGCUGGCUCUGCUGCUGAAGCACCGUGUUUCAAGGGAGAGUUGACCUUGAGCUGCUUGGUGAAGGAACCAGCGAGCUCUCGCAAUACGAGGAGGUCCAGGAACAGCCCUGCUGCGAAAACCCAGCUUCCCAUUGGAACCAGAAGUCUGGUUAUGUCCUCCAGCCUAAAGCUUAUACUAGCUAUCCAGACUGGCUUCACAUGUGAUGUCACAGGUAUAUUGUAAUCUAUGUCAGUCAAAUGAUGUGAGUCCUUCACAUGUAAUGUAAAAAUAUCUUGCAGUAACAUGUUCUUCCCUUGUUGUGGCAUUAAAUGCUAUACAUUAACAGUAAAGACAUUAAUCCCUAAUCACACCAGAAGGGAUUGCAGACAACCAUUUUAAUUGUUUUAAAACAAUGUUUUCACAUCUCCCGUGCAUGAAUGCCUUGGUUUAGACACCGUUUAUAAAUUGGCACAGGAAUGCAAAAACAAAUAGUGUUAAAACUAACAAUGACAGAUUUCUGUAAGCAAUGUGGACUCUCUGGGUCAUACCAUACCGCAUGCUUCUCCUUCACUGAGGGGUGUACGCUACACACGUCUCUAGGACUGACUCAGAGAGGUACAUCGUUUACACUUCUCCAAGAGUGACUUGGAGGCAUCAUAUAUUUGCCUACGCUCAUUCUUAAUCGCCUGCACCAGACUACACCCUGCAAAUGUGCAACCUUGGUUCUGCAGAGUCGGCAGUUACCAAGGACUAAUUCCUGCUUUCCUGAGCCCAGUGCCAGGUGAACCGAAGUUAUUAUGAAGAACAGGGUGCUGACACAUCUUCCUGCCAUUUUGCAAAAGAGGAAAAAAGUCAUUUCCUUGACAGCAGAUCUCCGAAAUAUAACUGUGCCACUAAAGGUAAUGAAUACCUGAAAUUAGCUUUAGCAUUACAACAUUUGUUUUAAAUUCAAAACAGAGAAUUCAAGGUUUCGGACAAACCGGAAAACCACUUGUAUUCCUUUGCAAAUUUCGACAUCGCUUCUGGAUGCACUAUGUACCUGUGUAAUUUUUUUUUUUCUCUCUUAUUUUAAAAGCUGAGGCUUCAUUUUCGAAAUGUAUUGAAAACAUGACAGGAAAGGACUAUGUAGCCACGUGAUCAUGUUCAGCAUUUUGAUCCUCAGUUUUAGGAUUUUAGGUGAUGUUCGCAAAAACCUAGAGGGUGGCAAAAGACCUGAACGUUAAAAAAUUACCCAUGCUAUCUCCCCCUAUUUAAUCUAAGCUCAGUCUCCCUCAACCUUUUCAAUCUUGGACACAUUUUCGCUGGUAAAUCUUGCACACUCAUUUCCUUCCCUGGACCGCUAAUUCUCAACUCACAUCCUACCACAUUGGCUCUAAAUUUUUUUCAGAGAGUUUGAAGAGACAGACCGAAAGGAGGCACAGCGGACAGGUCUCACUGUUGCGAUGUUUUUGCCCAUGUUCACGCUGCGCUCACGUGUCCUCUGUCUUAAUUGGGAAAAAAAAAACACCCUUGGGUAAUUGUAUUCAUCUACAUUAUACGUAAUUCAGGACACUACGGACACAAAAAUGAUGCAGUGUUAAAAUACAUCAGUGGGUCAGGUUUCGUAUGAUCUACAAGCCAUCUGUACCUUUUUCAGCUGAAACAAUCAAUGUGAAAGCCUUCUGGGGCAAUGUCUUGUGAAGGCUUCUCUAUCAAAGACAAAAUCCUUUGCCUUGAUUCAAUUACAAUGUAUAAAUAGAAUAUCUCUGACUACAGGAAACUACACUUGAUGCACGCGUGAUGCAGGCAGCAGAGACAAAACCAUGAUUAUUCCAGGAGUUUUAUUCCAAGUCAAAGAAACAGAUAUUGCAGCAGAAUAAGGGCCUCUUAUGGCAUCAUCAUGACUGCAGGCCCUCAGCGCUUCUCACAGAGACCAGUAUAUGUAUAAUAUUCAGUAUAGUGGAGCAUCUCUUGGAUGAGCAACAGGCUAAAGGUCACAGUGCUCCAAGAGCAGGAGAGCUAAAGCUCAAUGUCAAUACUGAAACGCUACCAGCGUACUGCACGGCGUGACCCUGAAAAGCAUAUAACCCAGCAAAAUCACUGGUAGUGUGUCCCAAAUAUGAGCCUUGACGUUUGGGCAAUGAACGUUGGAAAUGCGCUCAUGACACUCAAUGACACAUUGUAUUGCACUGCCUCUUUUUCAAGGUUUGCAGAUUUGUGUCUCAAUUAACGUGUGCAUUAUUGCUGCAGCGUCUUCCAAACGUGCAAGACGUACGGCAAAGCACUUGUUUCGUAGAACCGUCCGCCUUACGGUUUCAACGGGACUUUACCUACAUGUGAUCCAAAGCUGAAGUAAUGUUCAGGCUACGUGAGAAGGCGAUGCCAAACCAUGUGGGGCCUAGAAGUCAUACUGAGAGGCCACUGGAAUAAAUAGGUGAGAACCUUAAAUGGCUGCA